ensembl:lncRNA LINC01060 long intergenic non-protein coding RNA 1060
GAACCCGAAAGGAAGAAGCUAUACGACUGGGGACACAUGUCUUAGAAGCACACUCAUUAGAUAAAGUGUCGCAUACUCUUUGAUAAGUUGCCUGUAAGAGAUUGGGAGCCGAGGGCCUGAGGGUGAAGCCUCGUUUGUGCAGGUGACUGUGGGACUCUGGUGUAAGUAACGCUGGGCCCACCCUGGUAAUGAAGGAAGACCCAGGCCCAGGCAGGGGCGGUGUCACAGGCACAGGGGCUCGCACCCUGGGCACUGACGGUGGCUGUCGCACCAGGGCCGCUCCUUGCAGAAACCUCACUGAGCCUGUGCCUGUUGAGUAGCUUCAUGAGGAGCGGAUAUCAGGCAGAGAAAGCCCGGGCAAGAGAGUGACACACGGGGCUUCUGCCCAGAACACGUGCGCCCACAAUCCCGGGAGCUG